AUUGAACGCUGGCGGAAUGCUUUACACAUGCAAGUCGAACGGCAGCACGGACUUCGGUCUGGUGGCGAGUGGCGAACGGGUGAGUAAUGUAUCGGAACGUGCCCAGUCGUGGGGGAUAACGUAGUGAAAAUUACGCUAAUACCGCAUACGAUCUAUGGAUGAAAGCGGGGGAUCGCAAGACCUCGCGCGAUUGGAGCGGCCGAUAUCAGAUUAGGUAGUUGGUGGGGUAAAGGCCCACCAAGCCAACGAUCUGUAGCUGGGCUGAGAGGACGACCAGCAAAGCUGGAACUGAGACACGGUCCAGACUCCUACGGGAGGCAGCAGUGGAGAAUUUUGGACAAUGGGCGAAAGCCUGAUCCAGCCAUUCCGCGUGAAGGAUGAAGGCCCUCGGGUUGUAAACUGCUUUUGUACAGAACGAAAAGGUUUCUACUAAUACUAGGAGCUCAUGACGGUACUGUAAGAAUAAGCACCGGCUGACUACGUGCCAGCAGCCGCAGUAA
rnacentral:rRNA from 1 species